UACGAAGGAUGCAAGCGUUAUCCGGAUUCACUGGGUUUAAAGGGUGUGCAGGUGGGAUAAUAAGUCAGUGGUGAAAGCCCCCGACUCAAUCGGGGAACUGCCAUAGAUACUGUUAUUCUUGAGUGUAGUUGAGGUGGGCGGAAUAUGACAUGUAGCGGUGAAAUGCGUAGAUAUCGGGAGGAACAUCAGUGGCGAAGGCGACUGCCUGGCCCAACACUGACGCUGAGGUGCGAAAGCGUGGGUAGCAAACAGG
rnacentral:rRNA from 1 species